UACAGGGGGUGCAAACGUUGCUCGGAAUCAUUGGGCGUAAAGCGCACGUAGGCGGUUCGUUAUGUCGGAUGUGAAAGCCCUUGGCUUAACCGAGGAAGUGCAUCCGAAACUGGCGAGCUAGAGUACGAAAGAGGAUCGCGGAAUUCCCGGUGUAGAGGUGAAAUCCGUAGAUAUCGGGAGGAACACCGGUGGCGAAGGCGGCGAUCUGGGUCGAUACUGACGCUGAGGUGCGAAAGCGUGGGGAGCAAACAGG
rnacentral:rRNA from 1 species